AUAAAUGUAAUAAUAUUUAAUUUCGACUUAAAUUAUAGAUAUAUUUUUAUCCAUUUAUA
rnacentral:tRNA from 1 species